AAAUCCAGCAUUUCCUGCCUGAAGAUCUUAGGCACUCAAAGACGGAUUUAAUUUACACCUUCAUUUAAAGCUAGCCACAAGAUGCGAAAAUAACAGUUACACAGCCUAACCUGGGUAUUGCCACCAUCAAUUUGUAUACAACCCUAAUAUAAACAAAAAAAGCCCCACUCUUUCAUUAAAAAAAAAUAAAUAAAAUCAAUUUCCCUUUAGUCAAUGCAAGCUUUAUUUUUUUUAUUUUUUAUUUUUUAGGAAUCUGAAAUAGGAAAACUGUUUUUUUCCCCUUUUUUUCAUUUUUUCUUUUCUGAAUCUUAGAACCACUCAGAUUUUAUGUUUCGAUACCACAGACAGGAGUAAUGCACUCACUGUGGCCCAGACAAUCAGUCAUCACGAGCUAUUCUUUGUUUCAUUCAAAGGCUCCUAUCAACUACUGCACCCUCUUGCAGCGAGCAUUACAUAAGUCCCCUUAUUAUUUGCCAAGGAAUUGCAACAAGCAAGGUACUCAGCUAAUUAGACAUUUCUCCCUUUUGCUUUUGACAUUUCCAUCAACUUGAAAAUUUGCAGACUAGAUUACUGAGAGAAUUUUAAAUGAAUACUGGAGUGAUUAAGCAGGGAAGAUGAAUACUAAUGCAUCUCAAACUGGGUUAGCACCGUAAUGAAUUUAACAUAUCUGGUUUUAAAGUGGACUAAUUAACAAUUAAGUCUCAAGUGAAACUUAUUUAUAUCUGUGUUUAAAAAAAAAAAUAAAAUACCCCAGCCCCCCACCUGCUUAGUUUGGGAGAGGGAAACUUCUCAGCAUGCUGCUUGGCAGCAUGCGGCUCCUGCAGAUUUUCACCUUCUCAGAUAUUUCUCCUUCCAAGGUAUCCACAGGGAUGCACAAAGCCUUCCAUGGCCCUUUUUCCCCAAGUCUUGUUUGCAGCCCAGGAUUGCACAUCGCUCAGGCCAGGAACAUCUUCUUUGUGAUCUGCAGCUCCUCACAUCCAGGACGCGCCCAAAUCCUGCCAGUUAUUUCUGCAGAACACCUCCUGGAUCCUCGAUCAAGCCAUCUUCAUCCUGUAUCUCGAUUACUGAAGCACCCUGCCUUUAUUCAGGCCCCGUACAAAGAACAUUUUCCCUCUCCGUCACCUGAACCAUCAAAGCUCUUGGUAUUUUUCCUUCCAUGACCUGUGAAAUGGGAAAAUUGAGGAGGGAAAGGAGUUUUCCUGGGAUGUAGUGGAGAACAGUCAUGCCCAGCAUCAGCAGGUAAGUCAGGAUGCACCACAGCUCCUGGUGCUAUCAGCAUCUCUGAUAGCACUGGGCUGAUUUAUCUCCUCGCUGCAGGUGCAACCAAUUCCUUGGUCUGGGGGCAGCAAGGAGCAGCCUGGAAAUCACAGCACACAUUUUUCUGCCAUCUGCUGAAGCACCGGACAUGGCCCAUGCCCAAGAUUGGUGUUUUAUUUAAUAAUUUUCCUACUAUGUGAGGACUUACCAGUCAUUUCCACUCUCCUUUCUUCCUUUAUUCAUGUGGAAAGUUGCAACCAUGUCUGGUUUUAUAAAUAAAAAAAUAUUUUCUUUUUCUUUUCA
rnacentral:lncRNA from 1 species